rnacentral:lncRNA from 1 species
UGUAGUCAAUCACUGAAGGAACAGAACGAGGCUGUCUCAUAAGGACUGUUUUGAUAGGUAAUGUGCAUGUCUGAAAAAGCAGACUGCAAAAAGUGGUGUUGUGGAAAAUAGUUGUUUCUCCACUACAUCCCAUUCUUUUUUGGACUUCUCUAGAGGUGGGCAGUUACCAGUGUUGUGGGCUUUUAAGACAUUUGGGCUGUUCUAUGUAUCUGCAAUCAUACAUUUACAUGUUACCCUAAUGCAAAUUGCAACAUAUCAUUCAUAGUUUUGGUAUUUUUUAAAAAGCCUCUUCAAUAAUAUAUCAGAAAAUUAUAGAGUCCAGGUAUUUUUAUGUUUUGAAAGUCCAUGAACUUCCUGCCUAUGUAUCAUUUAGGCAACUGGGGUUUGCUAAGCCAAAUGAACAGAUUUCUAAAAUAAUCCCUUAUUUCAAGUGUAUCAUAUGGAAUAAUCUGUUUAAUAUAGUAUACUAUUUACAUCUCUUCUAGAGAGAAACAAGCCAUGGACAUGGAUUGAUUUUAUAAUGAAUCAUGCUGAUGUUGAAAAUAUUUAGAGAAAUUUAUACAGCAGCGAUUACUGCUAGUUACCAAAAGUAGAAAUCAGAAUAUUUGCUUUUUUGUUAACAAAGAAAAGAAAGGCAGAAGGCUGGGAAUAUAGCUUAGUGGUAGUGCACUUGCAUUAUGUAAGUCAGGCCCUGAGUUCAAUUCCCCUGAACAGAACAAAAUAACAACAGAACAAAAAACUAAGAACAAAAUGACAGGAAUUCUCAGGAAAUUAAUUUCCUUUCAGAUUUUUAUAAAAAUCUAAAUGGUAAUGUGCAAAUAGUCUUAGGCCAGCGAGAAGCAACCCCACUAUAAAUAUUAAGCUGUGUGUGUGUGGUAUAAGCAAGUAUCUGUGUGGUUAUGUUCUGUGGAAGUGCAUAUGUGGAGGGUGGAGGCUAACACUGCCUGUUUUCCCAAAUUGCUCUUCACUUUGUGUUUUGUGAGGGUUUCUCCUUCCGUUUGGAGUUCAUCAUUGGCUGGGCUGGUUGGCUGAGCUGGCUGGCGGGCUAGCUAGUGAGCUCCAGAGAGCCUCUUGUUCCCAGCCCGCUAUGGCUGCUGGGGACCCUAACUCAGUCUUCAGAGUGAUCUGGUUUGGGCUUCUCUAAAGUGACUGGGUGCUAGGGGACACGGACUGUAUCUAGCCUCACAAGUACUGGCGUGUGAAUGCCACUGAGCCACUUCUUCAGUUUACACUGGGAAGUAGCAGCUACAGCGGCUUCUCAUAGUCACAAUUUGCCCCUGGUAGGCAAAUUUGGGAGAGCAAAUUACAAUUAGUUUUCUUUUCUGUUUCCUUUUAAAAAUAUUUUUUUAUUGAAAAAAGAUAUUCUUUUGUUCAUAUAAUAUAUUCUGAUUAUGGUUUCUCUUCUCUACUCCUCCCAGCUCCUCCCCAAUUCCUCUUCUAUCUAUCCACCUCCUUUCUGUCUUUCAUUGGAAAACAAAAGGUUUUAUAAGGGAUAAUAAUAAAACAAGAUAUAAUAAAAUUAGAUAAAAUAAAAACAGAUAUAUUGGAAUCGGACAGAAGAAACAAAGAAAAGAGCCCAAGAAAAGGUGCAAAAACCAGGUACAUAUGCACACCCAAGAGUCCCAUGAAAACACAAAACUGGAAGCUAUAAUACAUGUGCAAAAGACCAGCAGGGUAAAAAAGGAGGAAAAAGAAUAGAGUAAAAUAAAAGAAAAAGCCCUGACAUGACAUUGAGACGAGGAACCUUCAAAGAUGCCUCUGAGCUUGUUUUCUAUUGGGCAGGCAGCCUGCCCUUAAAAAUAGUUCAUUUCCCCAGUGAGAAUCCCUUGGCAAGAGCUACAUUUUCAUUUGCAAAUAAUUAUCAGUUGGAGAUAUCUUCUGGAUUAGGCAUGUGCCUACUUCUCCUUUCAGCUCUACGACUCCCAUCUGAUAGACCGAUGUAGGCCCUGUGUGUGCUGCCUUAGUCUGUGAGCUUAGAUAGUGUUGAUCCUGUUGACUUAGAGGGCCUCUUUCCCUUGGUGUCUCCAUCCCCUCCAGCUCCUACCCGGUCCAGUUCUUCACUCUGCACAGUGCCCUGAGCCUUGAGGGGGGUGGGGGGAUUUGAGCGUCAUCCCAUUUAGGGUUGAGUGUUCCAAGGUCUUUCACUCUGUUUAAUAUCUGUCUGUGGGUCUCUGUAUUUGCUCCCACCUGCCGCAGGAGGAAGCAUUUCUGACAAUGGCUGAGCAAGUACUGAUGUGAGUAUAGCAGAAUGUCACUAGGAGUCAUUUUAUUGCUACAUUGUUUUGCUUUGUUUUGUUUGUUUUAGUACAGAGAAUUUCAUUUUCCCAGAGGUUCCUGGGCUAUGGCUUCUUAGGUUCUUGGUUACACAGUGUUGGGUAUGGGCUCCAUCCCAUGGAGUGGGCCUUCAUCAGAUACUAUAGUGGUCACUCUCAUAGGCUUUGUGCCACCUUUGCACUCAGCACACCUGGUUGGCAGGACAGCAUUGUAGGUCAAAACGUUUUGUGUUAUGUUUGGUAGUGUAAGCCGAGUGUCUUGAUAAUCAUUGAGUCAGCUUAGUGAUAAAACUUUCUCAUAGGAACAUGACUGUCUGUUACUCAGGCAUUCUACCUCUUAGACCAGGCCACACACAUUGAAUACAUUCCUUAAUUCUUGAUUUUUUUUUUUACUUAUGGAGGUACAGAUUAUCUCACUGGGCAUGUUUGUUUGUUUGGUUGGUUUUUGAUUGUUUUUUUUUUUAACUAGAGUUUGACAAAACUUACUUUAAUUUUAAAAAAUGGAGGUAAUGCAUAUCAAAACACUUAGUGCCUGUCACCACGCAAGUAACUGCUAAUGUCAAAAGUACCGUCAGGGCUACCUCACUUUGUUAACCCCAGGAUCAAAGAGUGCCUUUUGGGCCACUUUUGUAGACAACUGUUCUAUUUUAUCUUAUAUAUAUUGAAUAAUUUUCAUUCUUCUAAUUCUUUCGCAUUUGCUUCCUUAAUUUAUCCUUAAUGCUGACUGUCUGAAUUAGGGCAAUAUCAUUUCAUUCUGCAUUAUUUUACAACGUUUUCUAUUUAAGAUAUCUAUUAUUUUAAAAUUUUAGUUCCUUGUACCCUUCCCCAGUUUCUCCCAUCUAGAAUAGUAAUUUUUUGGGAUACAUGAUCUAAUGUUAUGCUUGGCUUCAUAAUGUAUUUGAUUUUUGUGUUGUAUUUAAGUAGAUGGUAGUUGUGACUUUCCCCAGGUAACCGUGCUCUUUUUCAUCUCAGGCCUUGCUUGAAUCCUCUCUUAUAUGGUGAAAAGUUAUUUUUAAAAUGGUAGUAGUGUGUUCUAGUAGCGAGUUGGCCAUAGUGUUGGGAGAUUAUGGUUGAAAAUUAAGAGUAGAGGCAGAAUGUUGCUUAAUUCAGCAGGCAGCAGUGGCACUGCUGAUGUGACAAACACAAUGGGCAAACAAGAACUUUCUGGCUGAAUGUGAAUACAGAGAAGAUGAUUCAGAGGAGUGAGCCAGUCACCCUGUCAGUAACAAAUGCUGUAGUGUUCUCCCCACCCUUCUGGAGGAUGGGCUUAUUAGAGGGGAAAUGGUGGAGAAGUCACUAUAGACAGACUUAUAGUGUGCUUGCAAAACUACACACCAGUGUGAAAAUGGUCUCAGAGGGAGAAUUAAGAAGCAGAGAGCGGGGAGAAAGGACCCAAGGGGCUGAAGUGGUUUGCAGCCCCAUAGGAGGAACAACAAUAUGAACUAACCAGUACCCCCAGAACUUCCAUGGACUAAACCAGCAACCAAAGCAUACACAUGGAGGGACUCGUGGCCCCAGCUGCAUGUAUAGCAGAGGAUGGCUUGUCAGUCAUCAAUGAGAGGAGAGGCUCUUGGUCCUGUGAAGGUUCUAUGCCUCAGUGUAGGGGAAUUCGAGGACAGGGAAGCAGGUGUUGGGGGGCUUGGGGAGCAGGGGGAGGGAAAGGGGGUUUCAGAGGGGAAACCAGGAAAGGGGACAACAUUUGAAAUGUAAAUAAAGUAAAUAUCUUU